rnacentral:rRNA from 1 species
UGUCUCCUACGGGGCGCAGCAGUAGGGAAUAUUGCUCAAUGGGGGAAACCCUGAAGCAGCAACGCCGCGUGGAGGAUGAAGGUUUUAGGACUGUAAACUCCUUUUGUGAGAGAAGAUAAUGACGGUAUCUCACGAAUAAGCACCGGCUAACUCCGUGCCAGCAGCCGCGGCAAUACGGAGGGUGCAAGCGUUACUCGGAAUCACUGGGCGUAAAGAGUGCGCAGGCGGGCUUGUAAGUCAGAUGUGAAAUCCUGUAGCUUAACUACCGAACUGCAUUUGAAACUAUGAGUCUAG